rnacentral:lncRNA from 1 species
ACUAACACUUGGUAUGCAGUAAAGUCGUCUCUGUGAAGUUAGCAGAAUAGCAGAAUAACUCCAGCAGAAUAGCAGAAUAACUCUUUUAACUGACAAAAAUUGUUUUCUAACAAAUUAUGGUUACACGUUUACCGCAAAAAUAGUCUUAGGCUAAUCUUAAUUGUCAUACAGAUGCGGGGUAAAAUGAAAUAAAGUUAUUCUGCUAUUCUGCUGGAGUUAUUCUGCUAUUAUGUUAUCCUGCUGGAGUUAUACUGCUGUUCUGCUGGAGUUAUUCUGCUGUUCUGCUGGAGUUAUGCUGCUAUUCAUCUAGCUUAGGCUAAUGUUAAUUGUGCGAGGUAAUAUGCGAGACGUAUAACAUUUAAAGUCGGUCUUGAAGUUGUUAUAUUAACUGACAAAUACCGCAGAUAUAGUGUUAGGCUAAUUUGGAUUGUCAUACAGAUGCGAGGUAAAAUGAAAAAAGUUUUUUUCUGCUAUUCUGCUAGAGCUAUUCUGCUAUAAUAAUUCUGCUGGAGUUAUUCUGCUAUUCUACUAUUCUGCUAACUUCACAGAGAAAGUAAAGUCUUAGAACAACACGGCCAGACCCUCUUUGAUUUGAUACUUUCGGAGAUGGAUAGGCUUGUAAAUGGCAUCGUCAUACAAAUCUUGUUGUGAUAUACUUUGUCGCAGAAUUGUCUUUAGAUUUUUUAAAACUAAGACAUACGGUGAUAAAAUGUAUUACUCACGCUGAAGCUGUGAGCAAAUUAAUUAUUCUCUAAUCUCUAUCAACCCUGAACUGAACCAAUAAAACUGAAUCAACUACUAGUACUAGUGAAUACAAAGGCAGAAUUUAGGAAUAAGGCUUGUAUUUGGAAGCACAUAUUUCUCGCGGAGUAAAUACAGCAUUUCAUAUUUUGUAGUCCUUGAGUAGUGGUUUGGAUAACAACUUCGCUUGUGCGUCUUCGGAAAACUGAAACGAAACUUAAAAGAAUUGAGACAAAGUACAAAUCGCGAAUACAUUUUAUUGGAAAUUCCGUUUUUCUUGUCAGCUCGAUAACCUAUGCAGGAAGAAAGAUAAGUUACUAACUAUUCUGAACAGCUACUCAUGUCAAAUAAACUUGAAAAUAAGAGUUAGCCAUUAGGGUAUAUAAUUUUGCUGCCAAAAACCUAGCCUCGAGUGUAAUAAACCACGCAAGCACUGCUUUCAUAUCCCGGUAAAGCGAUACCGCAUGAAAAACACUGAUGAAUACCCGCCAAAAUGUACCGCUAACUUGACCAAAACUAGCAAAACUGGUUAAUAUCGAAACGCGAAAAGGUCCUAUGGAAACUUUUAUGCCGUUGAUCGUGGAGGAACAACCUAGAUGUCCAUACGUGCAUUAUUUCAUCACUGGCGGACACUUGAAUCAAAACCUACGACCUUCCGUAAGCUAGCUGGCUGGCUUGCCUACACGAAGAACUCAAUGCCCCAAAGCGAAGAUCGGACCCACAUCGGUUUGUGGGAGGGUCAAGUUAUGUGAAGUUAGCGACUUUAACAACUCGACCAUGGAGGCCACUUACAGUUUCAUGCAGAAUACUGACUGAAAUUAAGACAUUAGAAAGUUAAAUUCUAUGCAUUUCCUAUGAGAUAAUUUCAAAUGAUUUUCAAUGACAUUUACGUCGCCUUACUCGAAGUUAUGCUAAGUGCCAAUUUGGAGAUAUUAAGAUAUAUAUAUAACCAACAAGGUCGGUCCAAGGUAAGUAUCAUAUAAUGACGCAUCUAUAGUUGUUCUCUAAUACCACGCAUCUACAUAAAUUGUCCUAGUAGUACAUAUCAGUGCAUUUGUUGUAAACCACAACAUACAGUUUGUUUAAUUUGCAAGUUAUGUCUAUGGAGGGACAUGUUGAAAUGUAAAUAUUACUAUAUACGCCAAUACCUUGUUUAAUAAGAUGUGCAGCUUCUCAGAAGCUUGGUCCUUAAAGUGCAUAUUUCAAAACGUAGGUUAUUACAAAGAUAUCUGCAAUUUGUUUUAACUUAAUUAUGUCAGCACGUACUGUACCAAAUAGAAGCUAUGAAAAUGCUAUGCAGAGAGUUAUGCUCAUGACUAGUGGUAUGUGUUACUCGUCGAGGAAGAGUCAGACCAUAUAUUAAUUAUUAAAAACCAACAGGGCUCACGUGCCUGAUUCGUCUUGGCAUGGAUUGGUUAUGUAAAGGGAACAUACGGUCUUUGAUAAGCCACAACGAAAUUUUAUACAGUUUCAGUGAUUGGUUAGAGCUGAUGUGAGGGAAUACAAACUUGUAAAGCAAACAUACGCUUUUACUGUCAGAUAAUGUUGAUAGUCCUCAUGACCAGUCAGUAGACAACUUUUGCUGUACCAACAAUAAAAUGAUACCGACUAUGGGUUAGACGAUGGUAAUAACAUUGACAUUUUCAUACUGAAUAAUAAAAUCCGGAGCGACAAAUUAAUUUAAUAUUUAUUUCAGCUGAAUGUGAUAGUCGUACACAAAGAGAAAAUAUAUAAUGUAUAAAAG